rnacentral:misc_RNA from 1 species
CAAGUUAGUCCACGCAAUAUACAAAUACGCCGUAAGCGCACAAACACCACCACCACCAUAUCUAGUGAUGGGAUGUUGCUGUGAUGAUGACGAACAGCUUCUCCAACCACUCAAUCCUUCCGAAAUCCAAAAUUCAGAUCAAAUUCCUCCGUCGGCAUCUUCCACCACCGUCGAACACGACGGAGAAGCCGUGAUAUCCCCGAUGAAUUCUCACUUUUCAGCCUUGAUAUGCCACGAUACUCUACGCGCCAUCCUCGAGAAACUUGCUCUCCCUGACUUAGCGCGUGCUGCGUGUGUGAAUAGAAUCUGGAACUUUGUGGCUUCCGAUCGCGAACUGCAGACGAAGGCAUUUAAGGAUCCUUGGAAGAUCAAGGACGUCAUCGGCGAUCCUUCCUCCGGCAGCUUCUGGAGAGAUAAUAGCCUUUCAAAAUUUGCCAUUUCUCAUCGCAUCGUCCGUGGUGAUAGUGUUGCUAGCCUCGCCGUCAAGUACUCCGUCCAUGUCAUGGGUAUAAAACGCUUGAACAAUAUGAUGAGUGACCAUG